rnacentral:tRNA from 1 species
UGUAGAAUAGCUUGAGUGGUACAGGGCGUGGCUGGUAAGCAUGAGGUCCUGAGUUCAAUUCUCAGUACAGCCA